rnacentral:rRNA from 1 species
GAUGAACGCUGGCGGCGUGCUUAACACAUGCAAGUCGAACGGAAAGGCCCAAGCUUGCUUGGGUGCUCGAGUGGCGAACGGGUGAGUAACACGUGGGUAAUCUGCCCUGCACUUUGGGAUAAGCCUAGGAAACUGGGUCUAAUACCGGAUAGGACCCGCGUUUCGUGUGUGUGGUGGGGAGCUUUUCGGCGUGGGGUGAGCUCGCGGCCUAUCAGCUUUUUGGUGGGGUGAUGGCUUACCAAGGAGUCGACGGGUAGACGGCCUGUGAGGGUGUACGGCCACAGUGGGACUGAGGGAAGGCCCAGACGGCUACGGGAGGAAGAAGUGGGGAAUAUUGCACAAUGGGCGCAAGCCUGAUGCAGCGACGCCGCGUGGGGGAUGACGGCCUUCGGGGUGUAAACACGCUUCGCCAAGAAACAAGGGUUUUGUGACGGUACUUGGAGAAGAAGCACCGGCUAACUACGUG